UCACUUCGGUGAUGCUGACGACCGGCGCACGGGUGAGUAACGCGUAUGGACCCUACCUGAAACAGGGGGAUAGCUUCCGGAAACGGGGAUUAAUACCGCAUACGAUUCAUUUGUGGCCUCACAAAUGGAUAAAAGCUACGGCGGUUUCAGAUGGCCAUGCGUACCAUUAGUUAGUUGGUGAGGUAAAGGCUCACCAAGGCGAUGAUGGUUAGGGGUCCUGAGAGGGUAGUCCCCCACACUGGUACUGAGACACGGACCAGACUCCUACGGGAGGCAGCAGUGAGGAAUAUUGGUCAAUGGGCGCUAGCCUGAACCAGCCAUGCCGCGUGCAGGAAGACGGCCCUACGGGUUGUAAACUGCUUUUCUGCAGGAAGAAUAUAUAGUCUUAGGGGUAUAUUGACGGUACUGCAGGAAUAAGCAUCGGCUAACUCCGUGCCAGCAGCCGCGGUAAUACGGAGGAUGCAAGCGUUAUCCGGAUUCAUUGGGUUUAAAGGGUGCGCAGGCUGUAAGGCAAGUCAGUGGUGAAAGCCCUGGGCUUAACUCAGGGAUUGCCAUUGAAACUGUUUUACUAGAGUGUAGUAGAGGACGGCGAAAUGAGUUGUGUAGCGGUGAAAUGCAUAGAUAUAACUCAGAACACCUAUUGCGUAGGCAGCUGUCUAUACUACAACUGACGCUGAGGCACGAAAGCGUGGGGAGCGAACAGGAUUAGAUACCCUGGUAGUCCACGCUGUAAACGAUGAUCACUCGUUGUUGGCUACUUAGUAGUCAGUGACCAAGGGAAACCGAUAAGUGAUCCACCUGGGGAGUACGUCGGCAACGAUGAAACUUCAAGGAAUUGACGGGGGCCCGCACAAGCGGAGGAACCUGUGGGUUUAUUCGAUGAUACGCGAGGAACCCUUACCUGGGCUUAAAUGCUGGCUGCCUUGGCGGGAGACCUUCAUUUCCUACGGGACGGCAGCAAGGUGCUGGCUGGUUGUCGUCAGCUCGUGCCGUGAGGUGAUCGGUUAAGUUCCCAUAAACGAGCGCCCAACCCCUAUCGCUUAGUUGCCAAGNCAUGUAAUUGGUGGGGACUCUAGCGAGACUGCCCGGUGUAAACCGGAGGAAGGUGGGGAUGACGUCAAAUCAGCACGGCCCUUACGUCCAGGGCUACACACGUGUUACAAUGGCCGGUACAAAGAGCAGCCACCUGG
rnacentral:rRNA from 1 species